rnacentral:rRNA from 1 species
UACGUAGGUGGCAAGCGUUAUCCGGAUUUACUGGGCGUAAAGAGCGCGCAGGCGGUCGUUCAAGUCGCGUGUGAAAGCCCCCGGCUCAACUGGGGAGGGUCACGCGAUACUGAUCGACUCGAAGGCAGGAGAGGGAAGCGGAAUUCCCGGUGUAGUGGUGAAAUGCGUAGAUAUCGGGAGGAACACCAGUGGCGAAGGCGACUACCUGGCCUGUUCUUGACGCUGAGGCGCGAAAGCUAGGGGAGCAAACGGG